AGGGGGAUUUUCCUUCUACUGGCCUUUUCACACCACCUGCUACCUUUCCCCAUCCAUGCUAGUUGCUGCCAGUCAGCCCUGGUAUGUUCCCCCAAACCUGGUCUUUUGGUUGGCAACAAAUUAAUCACAGUUGGCACAUCAGAUAGCAUGGGUGUUACUCCUGUCAUAGGUGAUCUGCGGACCCCUUCCUAGAAUUAAGUUGUCUUGUUCUGAGACAGUAGGUGUGGCCAUUCAGGUACUACAGUAACAGCCCAGGUUUGUGGGUGCCAGGACCUGCCAGCUCCCGUGCCAAGUGUUAUCUAUCCGUCAGGGCCUGCUGUGAGUGCCUGUUCACGACGUUGCUCUUUCAGGUGGAUCUGUGUACACAGGCUCCGUGGAGGUUCCUCUUCAUGUCAGCCAGGCGCUAGACCCUGGGGCCUCAGGUAAGGUUUUUGGACCUUUCUUUGGAAUUGUGUAUUUUCUAAAGUCACAUUCAUGUUCCUUUGGGCGUGGGUGAUCAUGUGAAGGGAAGUGAGGUGACAGUGGCGUCCUGCUGUAGGGCAGUCCCUCUCUAGAAACCUGUUUGGGUGAAGGGCUCUCUGGGGCAUCUCCUGGGUCCUGGUGUGUCAGGCUGGGUAUUGCUGUGAUGGAGGCUGCGUGGCUUUAGGCACCGGAGACUCUGGGCCCACCUCUGAACACAUCUAGCUCUGCAACCCUGUCUCACACUCCACUGAAAAUCAAAGCUGGAAUAGCAGUGAAGAGCUUUUGUUUUGUUUUUUUUGGCUACACCCUCAGCAUGCAGAAGUUCCUGGGUGACAGUGCUGCAUCUUUACCUACCAGGCCACCUGGAAGCUCCAGCAGCGAAGGUUUUAAUAAGAUUUUCAUGAUGGAGUCAUGAUCACGUGACCACACGAUCCUGGUCUUUUCCAGCCCAGUGUCUAGGUUUUUAUGCCGAAGCGUCUUGACUCCCCCCUGGGCAGGGAGGUGACGAGGCGUCUGCAGGAUACAACCGAAGCUGUGCUUGGCUGGUCUGCUCUCCCUGGCUCAGGCCAUUCCCCAGGCCCCUGGCGCCAGCCUCCUGUCCACCCUGGCUCUUUGCAUCCUCUUCUGCUCCUGCAUCGAAAGUGAUCGUGGGCUGUGGUGCCCUGGUCAUUGAUACUGCAGGGAGAGGAGUCGCUGAAAGCCGUUUCCCCGUGUUUGAAGGGUUCAUCCAUCCCUUCCAAACCCUGGAGCUUUCACACACUAGCUUUUGUCUUCUGCCAUUCCUUUCAAAGCUCAGGCCUUCCUGGCCCGCAUGUGAUAUGGUGACCAGGCUAGCCCCCCACUAGUGGGGUUCACUUUGUCUUUGGAGCUGAGGAGGCGCUUGACAGGAACUCCAGUCUAUACAUUUAUAUUUGGACCUCACCUGGAAAAAAUCCAGGUGGUGCUGACGGGCACGGGGGAGAACUGUAAAUUGAGUUCUGCUCUAUGAAUUUACACGAGUGGAGGGAGGGUAGUCCAUAAAAAUACAUUAUUCAUUGUAGCCCCUGACUUAUAGGCUCUUUGGUGUGUUGUCUCUGCUCCUUUACUCUUCCUGGAACACAAUGUGUGCUCCAGCAGUCAGUGAUGUCGAGUAUAUGGAGAAAGGAAAAUAAAGAUGGGAGCCAGAUGUAGGGGCAAAGAGGGGUUCUAUCAAUUCUGAAUCAGUAAAAAAGUUUCUAUUUGUCACCAUCUCCCAAAAACCUGAGGAGUCUUGUCAGGCACUGAGAAGAGGGUGUUGACUGGCCAAGUGUAGCCCUCCUUGUAAUCUGUGCUUUUGUAGGUUCUCUUUUUAAAGGGUGACCCCAGAGUUUCACUAGAGAAGAAACUCCCAGGCCUGUGGUUCUGAGGCUCCCUAGCUUUCUGGUUCACAUCAGUGGGUGUAUUAGAUGGCUGGCGGAGUCCCCAGCCAUGUCGUCAGCCCUCAGCAGGGGGCUGACCUGCCUUUCUAUGCUACAGAUGUGUUGGUGGAAGGCUGAAACUCUGCAAUGGUGCUUUCAUUACUCGGUGACCCUGAAGAGGCAACACGGCGCCCCCUAGAGGCAUGACUGGCUCCCAGGUAACAGGUGACAUCUAGUUUGGCUGUGUAAACUGGGAGCUUGGGCCUGUUCCAUUGGGAUCCUCUGAGCUGUUACUUGAAGAUGGUGCUGGAAAGUAAUGCUUGUGGGCUUCUUCUAGAUUCAUCCACUGUGUGCACAGCAGCGGGACAGAAUGGAGAGGGAGGUCCCCACACGAAGCCUCACCAGGGCUCGCUGCCCUCUGCGCCGAGUCAUGGGAGAACCCUUCCCUCAGCACAGAGAUGAGGGGAAGCCCUGGGACUGGCAUCUCUUGAGUCCCGACACUGCCCUGGUUGGGGGGUGGGGGAGCUGUGGACAGGGAAGGCUGGCCCUGAGCCUCAAUGCUGCGCCUGGAUGACUUCAGCAACCAGGAGUUUUUCUCUUGAGUUGGCAGCUGCUUGUCAAUCUGCUCUCCACCCAUCCACUCAAUAAACUGUACACAG
rnacentral:lncRNA from 1 species